UACAGAGGUCUCAAGCGUUGUUCGGAUUCAUUGGGCGUAAAGGGUGCGUAGGUGGUGAUGCAAGUCUGGUGUGAAAUCUCGGAGCUCAACUCCGAAAUUGCACCGGAUACUGCGUGACUCGAGGACUGUAGAGGAGAUCGGAAUUCUCGGUGUAGCGGUGAAAUGCGUAGAUAUCGAGAGGAACACCUGCGGCGAAGGCGGGUAGCUGGGCCGACACUGACGCUGAGGCGCGAAAGCCAGGGGAGCGAACGGG
rnacentral:rRNA from 1 species